GUGGGGAAUCUUCCGCAAUGGACGAAAGUCUGACGGAGCAACGCCGCGUGAGUGAAGAAGGUUUUCGGAUCGUAAAGCUCUUUCGUUAGGGACGAACGUGCUCUUUGUGAAUAAUGAGGAGUAAUGACGGUACGUAAAUAAGAAGCCACGGCUAACUACGUGCCAGCAGCCGCGGUAAUACGUAGGUGGCAAGCGUUGUCCGGAAUUAUUGGGCGUAAAGCGCGCGCAGGCGGGAUAUCAAGUCUGUCUUAAAAGUGCGAGGCUCAACCUCGUGAGGGGACAGAAACUGGUAUUCUUGAGUGUCGGAGAGGAAAGUGGAAUUCCAAGUGUAGCGGUGAAAUGCGUAGAGAUUUGGAAGAACACCAGUGGCGAAGGCGACUUUCUGGACGAUGUCUGACGCUGAGGCGCGAAAGCUAGGGGAGCGAACGGGAUUAGAAACCCUUGUAGUCC
rnacentral:rRNA from 1 species